rnacentral:rRNA from 1 species
AUUGAACGCUGGCGGCAGGCCUAACACAUGCAAGUCGAGCGGAUGAAGGGAGCUUGCUCCUGGCUUCAGCGGCGGACGGGUGAGUAAUGCCUAGGAAUCUGCCUGGUAGUGGGGGAUAACGUCCGGAAGCGGGCGCUAAUACCGCAUACGUCCUGAGGGAGAAAGUGGGGGAUCUUCGGACCUCACGCUGUCAGAUGAGCCUAGGUCGGAUUAGCUAGUUGGUGGGGUAAAGGCUUACCAAGGCGACGAUCCGUAACUGGUCUGAGAGGAUGAUCAGUCACACUGGAACUGAGACACGGUCCAGACUCCUACGGGAGGCAGCAGUGGGGAAUAUUGGACAAUGGGCGAAAGCCUGAUCCAGCCAUGCCGCGUGUGGGAAGAAGGUCUUCGGAUUGUAAAGCACUUUAAGUUGGGAGGAAGGGCAGUAAGUUAAUACCUUGCUGUUUUGACGUUACCGACAGAAUAAGCACCGGCUAACUUCGUG